ensembl:lncRNA
GGGCACCUGAGGGGCGGGAGGAAGGAGGGCAGCCUGACCAGCAGUCUCCCAGCCAGAUUUGUCAGUGAGAUUGUGACUCCUUAAUCACAUGUAUUUCCAUAUAUAUCUCCUGGCAAAUCUGCCUUCCCCUCUGCAGCAAGGUGUGUGCAGAGGGAGCGCGGCGCUGGGCUGCCGCCGGCGCGGUGGAGGAGCAGGAUUUCGUUUUCCCUGAGCAGCAGAGACACGUACCUGAGUCACUCCUUCCCCUCCUGCCAUCCAGGGAUCAGCAGACACAAAUUUGUCAGGCUUCCCGGAGCCUGUGCCAGUCAGGUGAGAGGGAGGCGGCUGAGCAGAGCCUGAGAGGGCACCCCUGAGGAUGGGCGCUGUUGCUUCAUCUUUACCUUAAAAAGGCAGAAGCAGCGGGUGCUGGGCACUGGCACAGCCUGCUCUGCGAUCCGUGUGAAAGCAGCAGGGUGGAACCCGGGCCUCUCACCGCGGCUCUGCCUCCCAGGAGCUGCGGGGAGAUGCACAAAGGGAGGUUCCGUCCCUCGGGUGCAGCUGCAGCAAGAGGAGCAGAGCACGGCCACCACCCCGGCAGCGGGGAUGCGGGGCAGGCUGCUGCCCAGUGCAUUCUGUGCUUUGCUUCCACCUUGCCCUGGGCAGAGCUCCCAGUUGUGAUUCCAGCAUGGAGAAAAGCAGCUGGAAGCGUGUUCAGUGCUGACCAGAGGCCACAUCCCUGUGCCAGAGGCUUCCUGCCUCCCAUAUACACCACCCACACUUCUCUCCCCAUUGCCAUAAGAAACAAGACCCCAGAUUUGGAGCCUGAGCUGAUGCCUACAAGAUAUCUAAACCUCAGCCACCAGAACAACUGGGAUGGGAAUUCAAGCGAAGAGCUGUGCCCGAGAGCCAGCACCCUCACACAGCUCAAGGGAGCUGGCAAAGCCCCCUGAACACCCCGAGUUCAACGCCGCGGGCUGCAGUCCUGCCGGGGCAGGCACGGUUCGGCCCAAAGUCCUCGUUCCCACCUCUCUCCCUCUGCCCCGGUACAGCUCCCUAACGACGGGCCCUUUGAAGAUAAAUGCCCGAGUGACGGCAGAGUGACGAGGAGGACUUUGCCCCCCUCCUGCGAGCACCAGCGGGACACAGCACAGCGAUAACCCUCACUCCAAAUCCACCCCCUGCGCUGAGCCAGCCCCAGCCUCCCUUCUCGGAAAGCCACGGGCAGGGGGAAUGGCACGGAAUGCUGAAGUUGUUUUGCUGCGGUAGCAAAGCAGCUUUUCUCCCCCGUGUCCCCACAAACUCCCUCCAGCACCACCCUGCAUCCCCAGCUGGCAAAACCAGGUCUAAGAGAAACCCUACAGCCUUACACCAGAACCUCUGCAGAAUGAACCCCAACAUAUUUAGAGACAUGAACCCAGAAUGACUAAGAAAAUCAUGUCCUUUUCAUUGAUACAUUUUUAUUUUCUAUAAAAUACCCCCAGAGCUGAUAGCUGGUUAUGCUGCUAUUCAGAAUUUUACCCAUCUACUCUGCUGUACCUUUAAUUUUAAGAAGUUGAGGGCUUCUUUUCUAAGCUGUUGAAAAUGCUGAGAUGAAAAAUAUUUUAGCUGUUCCUUACCUGAUAUUUACAAUAAUUUGGGCUUUAUAAAUGUUUGAUUAAAAUUGUGCUAAGCAUUUCUUAUCUCGAUAUACUGUCUCCUAAUCGUAGGCUGUGACUGUCAUGAAGGAGUGGCUCAAAUUCCAAACUCAAAAGAUUUUUCUUUCCCUCACGAUGUUCUCAGGUCACACUUUAAAUUAUCUUUUUUUCCCCCCUACUCUGGCCAUGACUCAGCAGUGUUGAUUUGCAUCGGGCUGGCACUUUGCAUAGAAGCUACAGAGAAGUGAUUUAAAUACAAAAUGGUCAAAUAUUUCAUAGACCUUCUUCGACCUUCUCCAUUCCUGUACUAUCAAUUUCUCUUCCACACGUUUGAUGGGAAGGGUGACUCCUGGCACGGGAUGCUAGAGACUGUUCCAGGUUUCUUCACAUUACUAUCACCUCUCUGCACCAGCCCCGCUGGGAUUUGGAUUCGCCAUCUCUUGCACUAUGGAAAAAGCUUCCUGCUCAUUCUGAAGAUACAUGUGCUAUAAAAAGUGGGAAUAGAAGAAUUGGUACAAUGAAACGAAAAGGUUUUUGGGAAAGUCACUGGGACUUGCAGUAACCAUUUGUUGAUGCACUUAAAAACUUUAUUUUCAUGUAAGAAUCCCUGUGUUGUGGCCAACUCACUUUUUAAUGGUGUGUGUAUAUUUAUAUAUAUACCCCAGACCCCUCCACGCAUCCAGCUGGCCAAGGCCACCCGCCCUGGAACACUCAGCUUUAACCCACGGAUGCUCCUGGUGCCAGGACGAGGCAGCAGCAGCCUCUCCAACCCCCUCGAUGUCAUGUGAAAAUACAGCAGAAUACAUUUUCCCUCUCGGCUUGGCACGACCUCGGUUUGACUUUAAAAAUGACUGUGCCGGGGGUUUUUCUCUUGGUUCUUGUUAACCACCACCACCUUUCCCUCGUUACUGGAACAAACAUGAACACAUUUGGACUGCAUUUCAUAUUGUUUUAAAUAGAGAUCGUAUCUCUCUGUGCCCUGUCAGGGCUCAACUUUUACUUAAGGUAUCACUUAUAUAUUAAGCAUAUUUUAUUUAAGAACAACUGUUUUUUUUCAGGAUUAUAUUGGGGAAAUACAAUACCUCCAGCAGAUUAAGAGACAUUGAAUUAAAAACUCUGAAAGGUUUCUUUCUUCAAGGAAGCAAGGCAUCGAUUGUGCUAAAUUACCAGUUUCUGCUGAACCACUAUAAUGCACUGACUGGGGCAGAUGAAGCAUUUAAGACCAGAACAGAAUGCCACUAAUGGCACUGGCACAUCAGGCGUGAUGUUGCAGCCAUAAAUUGCCCACUGGGUUCCAGAUAUAUAAGUCCCAAUAUAAUAAAAUCUGGAAAAUCACAUUGUCCUUGCA